rnacentral:rRNA from 1 species
AGCAGUAGCCGCGGUAAUACGUAGGUCCCGAGCGUUGUCCGGAUUUAUUGGGCGUAAAGUGAGCGCAGGCGGUUAGAUAAGUCUGAAGUUAAAGGCUGUGGCUUAACCAUAGUACGCUUUGGAAACUGUUUAACUUGAGUGCAAGAGGGGAGAGUGGAAUUCCAUGUGUAGCGGUGAAAUGCGUAGAUAUAUGGAGGAACACCGGUGGCGAAAGCGGCUCUCUGGCUUGUAACUGACGCUGAGGCUCGAAAGCGUGGGGAGCAAACAGGAUUAGAGACCCCGGUAGUCCCUGUCUCUUAUACA